AAAAAGCUCGUAGUUGGAUUUCUGUCGAGGGCGAGCGGUCCACCCUAAGGGUGAGUAUCUGUCAGCGCUUGGCAUCCUCUUGGAGAACGCUCCUGUGCUUUGUUGCGUGGGACGGAGUCCAAGACUUUUACUUUGAGGAAAUUAGAGUGUUCACGGCAAGCAAUCGCUUUGAAUACAUUAGCAUGGAAUAAUAAUAUAGGACCUUGGUACUAUUUUGUUGGUUUCUAGAACUAAGGUAAUGAUUAAUAGGGACAGUUUGGGGGCAUUCGUAUUAACGCGUCAGAGGUGGAAUUCUUGGAUUGCGUUACGACGAACUACUGCGAAAGCAUUUGCCAAGGAUGUUUUCAUUGAUCAAGAACGAAAGUAUGGGGAUCGAAGACGAUUAGAUACCGUCGUAGUCUAUACCAUAAACUAUGCCGACUAGAAAUGGGUCAUCGUAAAAUUCUUGACUUGAUCCGCGUCUUAUGAGAAAUCAAAGUUUUUGGGUUCCGGGGGGAGUAUGGUCGCAAGGCUGAAACUUAAAGGAAUUGACGGAAGGGCACCACCAGGAGUGAAGCCUGCGGCUUAAUUUGACUCAACACGGGAAAACUUACCAGGUCCAGACAUAAUAAGGAUUGACAGAUUGAUAGCUCUU
rnacentral:rRNA from 1 species